UCGGGUUAAUAUAUGUCGUCAGAGGCUCUCCGGGCCAAUCCGGGCAGCCAGGAGGCGGGGCCUCCCUCUGCGGGCCAUAAAACUUUUUUUGAUCUUCGCGCUGCUAAUUGUUCGGCUUCUCUUUUAGGAUUGGCUGCGGUUCCUAUCCAUAAUAUAAUUAAAACAAACGAGGCAAAGGUUCCCCCCCUCCAAGCAUCAACAGAGGUUAACGCGAGGGUUUAACAACGUUUCGCUCAGAUAGGGCGUUCACACAAUCCCUCCCUACCUGAACUCCGCUUCCCCUUCACUUAGCCAGCCCAACUGGGGCGCUCUCGUGGUUGGCUAUUAUUCUUGCGAAACCGUGAUGUACAACGCAGGGAAGAACACCGAGCGCAAUCCUAACCAUUCAGUCACACGAGAAUUGGGCCAUGGCUUUCGGUGGGACUUGGGUCGCGCCCACUUACAGUGAAAGAUGGCUGUCAGGAGAGCAGCGAGGAUGCGAAAAUCCGAGUCCUCACCCGGACCACGGUUGCAUCCAAGCGUUCGGCUUAAUUCCGAUUUUCAGGUCCAGGCAUAUGUUGGUGGGAAUCCUAUGCCCACAGUUAUUCUGGGAACAAGGCCCUUGGAAUUCAGUGUGGCUCGCUCCCGAACAGACAUGCAAGGCAUUGAACUGUAAGUCGAUUAACACCCAGCUCUCCGAGCAAAGUGAUCCCGCAUUUGGCCUCAAUUGAUUUUGUUUGCAAGGUAUAUGCUUCUUUAUGUUUUCUGACGCUGCAAUCCUGUGCACCCUUACUGGGAAAUAGAUCCCUUGAACAUAGGCAACGGGACUCCUUUCCACCUAGAACAAAAUCCUUUUAGAUUAGGUUUGUUUGGACCACAAUCCAGUUUUGAGUUUGCGGAUCCGGCUGUUCACCAAAGCUUAGCAAGAGUUCAUUGCUCCAGAAAAAGCUAUGAGGGGAUCUGAAUACAGUAAUAGUUGGAUGCGUUGUGGUUGGAUGCACGCGUGUGCGCGUGUGUGUUAAUUAAUCAGUCCAGAAAGGUGGGCUUUGCAAGGGCUGAAUGGACCUAUUUGUUUGCAGACAAUUUCGAGUGCAAAUAAAUGGAGUGCCAUCUCUCAGGCGUGCCCCCAACGCAAGCCUGAAAAACUUAAGAGCGGCUGUGGUGAACCGCUGCAGCUGGUUCCCUAAUAUCUCCAGGGAUAAAAAGCUCUGGCAAGCAAGCGGCAGAGCGAAAUGCGACCAGAGCCACCUCAGAUACUGAUCAGAAGAGCAGCCCGCAAACCGUUUAAGGAAUGCAAUUUGGGGUGGGAGGGAGCGGCUUCCCUUAUCUAGACGUCCAAACCGCGGCCUUUAAAGCGCCACUUCUUGAUUUGCAAAGCGCGCCAAUAGGAUGCAACGUCCUGCUGUUCUCAGAAGUUGUGGGUUUAUUUAUUUACCCCAAACCGCCAGGCCGACGCAUCCUGCGCAGGAUCACUUAUUUUCCUUUGCCAUAGUCUCCUUUGAAAUCUUCUCCACACACCGGCAUGCACACUCGGCCUGCCUCACACAGAUACACACCCUACGAAUAAUACUAAUAAAAAUUGUUUGACCCUUCUUUUCUAGUCAAAUUCUAAAGGCGUGACUUCGUAGAAAUGCGCACUGAACUCCACUUCAAUGCAGCAUUGUUUUUGUUUUUGUUUUGCUUCGAGAGGUUUAUGAUUGAUUAUUUCCAAAUAUUGGUGCUGCUUAUAAACUGUAAAACAGACAGGAGCUCACGUUCGGUGAUAGCAGUAUAUUCUCUAGUCGUAAUAUAUCCCAGUUAAAACGGUAUUAUUAGCUCAGACUGAAAAUCUGCACACUUAUAAGUUGCUUAAGUAAAUGAUGGUUUAGCAGCUUAACCAUGCGCAGGAGAGUGGUUGUGGGAUUCAGUCGAAUUAGAGCAGGAUUCUAAACGCUUUAUUGCGGAUUAGACGUGUUUAGGAGGAUGGAUCCCAACCGGUUUCAGUUCCAAUAUUUUUGCUUCCUGGGAUGCAGGAAAAAUAAAUAAACGGAGACACAGAUGGAGGAUGUUCAGAGUUAUGGAUUGCGAAGCAGGAAGGGGAGAAAAGGAAAGGUGGACGAGCAAACGGAUAAAGGGAAGAGAAAAUUAUAAACCAGGAGGAUGGCUACGAGGAAAUGCGCGGAUGCUGAUCUGGAGCAUAGCUGCCAAGUUUUCCCUUUUCUCACGAGGAAGCCUAUUCAGCAUAAGGGAAUUUCCCUUAAAAAAAGGGAUAACUUGGCAGCUAUGAUCUGGAGGAUAAAGAGGAGAGAAGGAAAAGAAGAAGAAAGAAAGGAGGUUGCUCGCUUUGCCUGAUUCUAGUCCCAGCAAUACAUUCAUAACUGCUUCUUUGUUGCCUUUCAAGGGAGCUUCGUUGUCCUUCUGGUCUGAGCCUUCUCAAACUGGUGUGGAAAAUAAAAGCAGCCUGGGCGGAACUGGAGCACAGUGGAGUGGAUAUUCGGCAAGUCCGAGGGAGGGCGCAGUUCAGCAAAGUGUGUCACUGAAUCGCAGGUCAAGAUGCGCUCCAUUCGUGUCAAGCCCAGCUUCAUUGGAUUCGCGUCCACUGCAGACGGACUUCGAGUCAUUCGGGGGUCGGGGCAGCGAGAAUGGCAACGGAACAGUCUGCUUCCCAGCUCGACCGCAGGGGCUGGAUGGAUUUAAAGGCCGUCCUGCGACUCCAGCGGGUUUGUGGUUUGCAUCUCCUCCUAUUAAACCGAUUAGAGGCAAGCCAGGAGAAACGGUUGGCUUAAAACGCCACAGAAACAAGUUUCACUGAAGUCAUGAGGAAACAUUGGCAAGCAAGCUUGAUUGUGUUUUAGGGGGUCAGGCUACAGCUUGACAGGUUUAUUCGCAGAGGCCUGUAUCAUCUUUCCGCCAAACCUUCUUCUUUUUCUUCAGAUUAUUAAUUUAUGCAGAAAUCCGGCAGUCUUGAAGGCCAGCUGACAUCUGGUGGGCUGCAUUCCCCCUCCUCUUCCCUCCCGUCCCCACCCCAGCAGUUCCAGUUACACAAAUCGACUAGGGGAGUAGAAAAUACUUGUUUGUGGGUGGGUGGUAUCAUAAAGUGCCAGGGCUGGCUUGUCUGACGCGCCAUCGAGGCACUGGAGCGCUCCUAGGUUCUUAAGCCAUUUCCCAAUGUUAUUUAUUAUUCGACAAACUAGAGAACUAUUUGAAUGUAUGAAUGAAGGAUUGCCUAAGCUCGCAGCAAAUUUAAGAUGCGACUGACCCAACUCCGAUCUCAAGUCCUGUUUGAAAUGCACUAUGGUACUUAAAUCCUAUUCUGUCCUGCUGAAGAAUCUAAGGGAACUCUUGCUAGGGUGACUUUCGCUUUUCUCUCUCUCUUCCUGCCCACUCCUAUAUACAACAAAUAUGGACACCAUAUUUAAACAGUUGUUUUUUGCAUGGUUUAUUUCUCAUCUCUACUGUAAUGUCGUCACCCCCUCCCGCACAUUUUAUAAUUUGUCUUGGGCAAUUUUAAAGGUAAAAAUAAAUAUAAACAUCUCUCUGUGAUCUUCGUUCCAUGUUAUUUUCUUUUUGCGUGUAAGAGUCUACAGACCCAUGGCACAAAAUCUCUAGAAUUAAGCAGAGUAAAUGACAUGCGAUUUUGUUGCUAUUCCGUGUCGUCUUUUACUUUCAAUAAUCAAAUUCUAGCUGAAGAUGAUAGCCUUGGAAGUAAGGCUGUCAACAUUAACAAUGUUUACUUGGAAGAAACUGCCGG